AGUCCAUGAUGAAGGCACUCUUGGAGCAAAUCCUUGAAUCUUUCCAUGAAUUUGGAAAAUGAUUCAUUUGGCUUUUGCUAAAUUGAAGAAUGUCAUUCCUAAGUUU